rnacentral:rRNA from 1 species
UACGGGGGGGGUAAGCGUUGUUCGGAAUUACUGGGCGUAAAGGGCUCGUAGGCGGCCAACUAAGUCAGACGUGAAAUCCCUCAGCUUAACUGGGGAACUGCGUCUGAUACUGGAUGGCUUGGAUUCGGGAGAGGAAUGCGGAAUUCCAGGUGUAGCGGUGAAAUGCGCAGAUAUCGGGAGGAACACCAAUGGCGAAGGCAGCUCGCUGGGACGGUACUGACGCUGAGACGCGAAAGCGUGGGGAGCAAACAGG